rnacentral:lncRNA from 1 species
GUAUGUGCGGACAGAUAUUAUUGAACAAUGACGGUCAAUUAGGUCAUAGCAUAUUACCGUGCUGUGAAACCCUAAUUAUUAAACUCAGUUAUGAUAAAUGACUGAGUAGUAUAUGAAGUUACUGUGUAUAUGAAGUUACUGUGUACACGAAUGUCGGUAAUUAGAAGAAAAACCCUAAUUACUAUUUUACGCUGAUAACUAGGACAAACCCUAAUUAUUACAACCCUAAUCGGUUGAAGUUAGAAACCGUAAUGACUGUGUUAGAUCAUACACAGAUAAUUAGAGAACCCUAAUGGUCAAUUAGAAAACCCUAAUUGAUAACGUUAAGAAACCCUAAUUAGAAAACCCUAAUUUUCUAUAGAAAACCCUAAUUUAAAAUUAUCGGGUUUAGUUACGAUGUUAUUAUAUAAAUGUUUUAAUUUACCAAAUGAUAGAAAUUAAUUGGUAAAUGGUAAGAAUUAUAAUCUAAUGGUUAAAUAUUACAUUUAAUGGCCUUUUACAAAAAUGCCCUUGGAAUUAUAUGUGAAAUGACCAAAAUACCCUUUUUGUCAUUUUAGUGUAUUAUUACUUACAUUGUUGAUAGGAUCUUGCAACAAGGAUGCCCAAC